rnacentral:rRNA from 1 species
AUUGAACGCUGGCGGCAUGCCUUACACAUGCAAGUCGAACGGUAGCAGGCCUUCUGGUGCUGUCGAGUGGGGGGCGGGCGUGUAAGGCGUCGAUAAGUACCCUACGGAGGGGGAUAACGCAGCUCACGCUGAGCGAAUACCACUUCUGAUCUGGGAAUGAGAACGCGGCUCCUGGUUGUAAAGUUUGACCUCGCCUGUCUGGUGGGCGCGAUGCCAGUUUAGUUGGUUGGUGGGGUAAGGGCCUACCAAGCCGACGAUCUGUAGCUGGUCUGAGAGGAGGACCAGCAACACUAGAACUGGGACAAGGCCCAGACUCCUACGGGAGGCAGCAGAGGGGAAUGUUGGACAAUGGGCGGAAGCCUGAUCCAGCAAUGCCGCGUGCGGGAAGAAGGGCUUCGGGUUGUAAAGCACUUUUGUGUGGAACGAAAAGGAUCUGGCUAAUACCUUGGGUUGAUGACGGUACCGUAAGAAUAAGCACCGGCUAACUACGUG